CAUUGUUCAUCAAAUCAUACUUUAUUGAAAGUUGCUUUUCUUGUACUAAAAAUAAACUAUUACAUUGAGUCAUAACCUGAAAUUUAACAGCAUCAACUAUUGUCUAUUCCUUGCAUAAAAAUCACUGCUUGGCAAGGUGGAAACUGGCUUCAAAUCAUUGUAAGACAACACAAAACCAAAUCUAGUGGGAAAUAGACAAAUCAUUGUCAAACAGCCCUACAUUUCAAGUGUAGAUCAAACUAUUGAAAACUGGCUGAAAAUGUUCAUGAGAUUAACACUAAAUUCAGGACACUAUCCAAAAUUAAACAAUUAGCACAAACAUUGUUACAAACUUCUUAUUUUAUAUUCAGCCAAUUACAUUUUAGAAAAAUAUAUAUCAAAUAUGUAUUUCACAAAAAUAUAUUUGCAGACAGGAUUAUCCAUUUCAAAAAGGUUAAUAAUGAUAUAACUUUAAAAGUUUUUACUUAUCAAUAUUAUUAUUAUUUACAUGUAUAUUUCCUGGCAGCUUUAGAAGCAGUCUUGAUACUGGGACAAUAAGUCAUUUUUUUUAAUAGAUCCAUUGACUUUAAAUGAGUAUCCACAUUACAUUGUAAAGUUACAGUAUUAAUGGUGGCUUGAUGGCUCAUUCCUUAUGGUUGUAUGUAGACUACACUGUAGUGGUUAUCUUUCCAUUCAAACAGAAUGUUAGUAAGACGGUAUGAAAUUAUUAUGUCUACUGUCUGGUUAGUAGCCAUUUUACCCAUACCAGUGUUAGGUAGUGUAAACAUGUGAGGCUCUCCAUGAAGCAAUACAGUGUUUGUGGUUAAAAGCAAGAAAAGGCAAGGCACACUGAUAAAACGUUCACAGCCACAUACACAAUGGCUUGAUCAAGCAAUCAAUCAAUCAAUCAAUCAAAUCUCUUCAUCCUCAAGGACCCUUCAGUUCUUCAAACAAUCUCUGAUCAUGACGAUAACCAAUCAAUACCCCAUGAUGUGGUUAAUGUGCCCCUGAGAAGAGACUCAUUAUGUGACACAGGUAAUCUUUAUGGAACAAACCCUUUACAUGAUGGUAGCAUCCCAAAAUAGCACCCUCUCCACUAUAUAGUGCACUGUGUGGGGAAUAGGGUAGUGCACUAUAUAGGGAAUAGGGUGCCAUUUGGGACUGAAACCCAUGUCAUGUUCAUUAACCAGUCCCUCCAGCGGCUUGAUUUUGCUGCGGCAACCCUGACAUUUUGCAUGGCAAUAUACCAAUUUGUUGUGAAACUGCUGACGGGGGGGGGAUUUGUUGAUGUGUGGCUUCAUUUAACUAUAUUAUGCAGUAAAUGUACUCAGAUUGGUUGAAAUUGCAAGCCCUAUUUUUGUACUGCGUGAUGGGCCUGGUUUAUGUGACAAUAUUGCGAUGAUUUGACUGUUGCAUGUGGAAAGAGUGCAGUGAUUGGUCAAAUUUACAAGCCCUCGCAUAAUAUGCAAGGAAUUGUUGAUUUAGCAACAACAACAAAAAGUCAUUGCAGAAACCUGGAGGGACUGAUUAACCCUUUUGACAUUAGAAAGUCCAGAAUGCUGACGCGGCCCAAGGUGAGCAUGAAGAGCAAAGCGCUCCAGAGUCAAUAUGGUAGGUUCUUUAGUCUGAGGGCCAACCCUUCUAAAAUGGGUAUCUUUAUUUAUGUUGAUUUUGUAGGUGCAACAAUUGUCCCCAAAGUAAGAGACAUAAUAUCCCAUAUUAGCAUAAGGAAUGUUUAUUUAUAUGUGCUAUAGCUGUUAAAUCCCAUUGUUUUGGUGUUUCUGGAUGACUUCUACAAAAUGCUGGGUUUGGCCUACACACUGAUAUAUGAUAUCAGUCAUCCACACUACUGGGAUAUGUUCAGGCAAAAAUCAGGACACUACUUACAGGCUCCCCUGCCAGGCACCGAUUACAACGUUGGCUGCCUUGGACUGCAUGGACUGCAUAGACCUGUACAAGAGAAAACACGAGCCUGGAGGGUUAUUACGG
rnacentral:lncRNA from 1 species